rnacentral:tRNA from 1 species
GAGUAGGUUUUUAAAGGGAUAAAAAUAUUAUAACGUCGCAUUCGUAAUGCGAAGGUCGUAGGUUCGACUCCUAUUAUCUCCUCA